AUCUUUUUUUAUUUAUGAUUUGAAUAAUAUAUUUUUGUAAAGAGUGGAUGGUUUUAAAUACGAAAAAAAAAAUGGCGAGAGAAUCGCCAUAAUUUGUAAUGAUCCUUCCGCAGGUUCACCUACGGAAA
rnacentral:misc_RNA from 1 species